rnacentral:rRNA from 1 species
GACGAACGCUGGCGGCGUGCUUAACACAUGCAAGUCGAACGGAAAGGCCCUGCUUUUGUGGGGUGCUCGAGUGGCGAACGGGUGAGUAACACGUGAGUAACCUGCCCUUGACUUUGGGAUAACUUCAGGAAACUGGGGCUAAUACCGGAUAGGAGCUCCUGCUGCAUGGAGGGGGUUGGAAAGUUUCGGCGGUUGGGGAUGGACUCGCGGCUUAUCAGCUUGUUGGUGGGGUAGUGGCUUACCAAGGCUUUGACGGGUAGCCGGCCUGAGAGGGUGACCGGCCACAUUGGGACUGAGAUACGGCCCAGACGCCUACGGGAGGCAGCAGUGGGGAAUAUUGCACAAUAGGCGGAAGCCUGAUGCAGCAACGCCGCGUGCGGGAUGACGGCCUUCGGGUUGUAGACCGCUUUCGCCUGUGACGAAGCGUGAGUUACGGUAAUGGGUAAAGAAGCACCGGCUAACUACGUG